rnacentral:rRNA from 1 species
GGUUAAGCGACUAAGCGUACACGGUGGAUGCCCUGGCAGUCAGAGGCGAUGAAGGACGUGCUAAUCUGCGAUAAGCGUCGGUGAGGUGAUAUGAACCGUUAUAACCGGCGAUUUCCGAAUGGGGAAACCCAGUGUGUUUCGACACACUAUCAUUAACUGAAUCCAUAGGUUAAUGAGGCGAACCGGGGGAACUGAAACAUCUAAGUACCCCGAGGAAAAGAAAUCAACCGAGAUUCCCCCAGUAGCGGCGAGCGAACGGGGAGGAGCCAGAGCCUGAAUCAGUGUGUGUGUUAGUGGAAGCGUCUGGAAAGGCGUGCGAUACAGGGUGACAGCCCCGUACACAAAAAUGCACAUAUUGUGAGCUCGAUGAGUAGGGCGGGACACGUGGUAUCCUGUCUGAAUAUGGGGGGACCAUCCUCCAAGGCUAAAUACUCCUGACUGACCGAUAGUGAACCAGUACCGUGAGGGAAAGGCGAAAAGAACCCCGGCGAGGGGAGUGAAAAAGAACCUGAAACCGUGUACGUACAAGCAGUGGGAGCCUCUUUAUGGGGUGACUGCGUACCUUUUGUAUAAUGGGUCAGCGACUUAUAUUCUGUAGCAAGGUUAACCGAAUAGGGGAGCCGAAGGGAAACCGAGUCUUAACUGGGCGUUAAGUUGCAGGGUAUAGACCCGAAACCCGGUGAUCUAGCCAUGGGCAGGUUGAAGGUUGGGUAACACUAACUGGAGGACCGAACCGACUAAUGUUGAAAAAUUAGCGGAUGACUUGUGGCUGGGGGUGAAAGGCCAAUCAAACCGGGAGAUAGCUGGUUCUCCCCGAAAGCUAUUUAGGUAGCGCCUCGUGAAUUCAUCUCCGGGGGUAGAGCACUGUUUCGGCAAGGGGGUCAUCCCGACUUACCAACCCGAUGCAAACUGCGAAUACCGGAGAAUGUUAUCACGGGAGACACACGGCGGGUGCUAACGUCCGUCGUGAAGAGGGAAACAACCCAGACCGCCAGCUAAGGUCCCAAAGUCAUGGUUAAGUGGGAAACGAUGUGGGAAGGCCCAGACAGCCAGGAUGUUGGCUUAGAAGCAGCCAUCAUUUAAAGAAAGCGUAAUAGCUCACUGGUCGAGUCGGCCUGCGCGGAAGAUGUAACGGGGCUAAACCAUG